AACGAACGCUGGCGGCAGGCUUAACACAUGCAAGUCGAACGCACCGCAAGGUGAGUGGCAGACGGGUGAGUAACACGUGGGGAUCUGCCCAAUGGUACGGAAUAGCUCCGGGAAACUGGAAUUAAUACCGUAUGUGCCCUUCGGGGGAAAGAUUUAUCGCCAUUGGAUGAACCCGCGUCGGAUUAGCUAGUUGGUGUGGUAAAGGCGCACCAAGGCGACGAUCCGUAGCUGGUCUGAGAGGAUGAUCAGCCACACUGGGACUGAGACACGGCCCAGACUCCUACGGGAGGCAGCAGUGGGGAAUAUUGGACAAUGGGCGCAAGCCUGAUCCAGCCAUGCCGCGUGAGUGAUGAAGGCCCUAGGGUUGUAAAGCUCUUUCGCCGACGAAGAUAAUGACGGUAGUCGGAGAAGAAGCCCCGGCUAACUUCAUGCCAGCCGCCGCCGUAACAC
rnacentral:rRNA from 1 species